rnacentral:rRNA from 1 species
UUAGUGGCGAACGGGUGAGUAACACGUGAGAAACCUGCCCCGAACUCUGGAAUAACCCUCCGAAAGGGGAGCUAAUACCGGAUACCUUCUUACUGUCGCAUGGCAGAAAGAAGAAAGUUUUUCGGUUCGGGAGGGUCUCGCGGCCUAUCAGCUUGUUGGUGGGGUAAAGGCCUACCAAGGCGUCGACGGGUAGCUGGUCUGAGAGGAUGAUCAGCCACACUGGGACUGAGACACGGCCCAG